rnacentral:rRNA from 1 species
AUUGAACGCUGGCGGCAGGCCUAACACAUGCAAGUCGAACGAGUGGCGGACGGGUGAGUAAUGUCUGGGAAACUGCCUGAUGGAGGGGGAUAACUACCGGAAACGUUAGCUAAUACCGCAUACCAUCGGAUGUGCCCAGAUGGGUUUCGCUAGUAGGUGGGGUAAAGGCGCACCUAGGCGACGAUCCCUAGCUGGUCUGAGAGGAUGAACAGCUACACUGGAACUGGGGCACGGUCCAGACUCCUACGGGAGGGAGCAGUGGGGAAUAUUGCACAAAAGGAGCAAGCCUGAUGCAGCCAUGGCGCGUGUAUGAAGAAGGCCUUCGGGUUGUAAAGUACUUUCAGCGGGGAGGCGUUACCCGCAGAAGAAGCACCGGCUAACUCCGUGCCAGCAGCCGCGGUAAUAC